rnacentral:rRNA from 1 species
CGGCACGGGUGAGUAAUACGUAUGCAACCUGCCUGCCACAGCCGGAUAAUCGGGAGAAAUUCCGUCUAAUACGGCAUAAUGCAUCGACGGGACAUCCUGUUGGUGCCAAAGGUUGAUUCCGGUGGCGGAUGGGCAUGCGUCGCAUUAGUUAGUUGGCGGUGUAACGGACCACCAAGACGACGAUGCGUAGGGGUUCUGAGAGGAAGGUCCCCCACACUGGUACUGAGACACGGACCAGACUCCUACGGGAGGCAGCAG